UACAUGCAAGUCGAACGAGUUCUGAUUAUUGAAAGGUGCUUGCAUCUUGAUUUAAUUUUGAACGAGUGGCGGACGGGUGAGUAACACGUGGGUAACCUGCCCUUAAGUGGGGGAUAACAUUUGGAAACAGAUGCUAAUACCGCAUAAAUCCAAGAACCGCAUGGUUCUUGGCUGAAAGAUGGCGUAAGCUAUCGCUUUUGGAUGGACCCGCGGCGUAUUAGCUAGUUGGUGAGGUAACGGCUCACCAAGGCAAUGAUACGUAGCCGAACUGAGAGGUUGAUCGGCCACAUUGGGACUGAGACACGGCCCAAACUCCUACGGGAGGCAGCAGUAGGGAAUCUUCCACAAUGGACGCAAGUCUGAUGGAGCAACGCCGCGUGAGUGAAGAAGGCUUUCGGGUCGUAAAACUCUGUUGUUGGAGAAGAAUGGUCGGCAGAGUAACUGUUGUCGGCGUGACGGUAUCCAACCAGAAAGCCACGGCUAACUACGUGCCAGCAGCCGCGGUAAUACGUAGGUGGCAAGCGUUAUCCGGAUUUAUUGGGCGUAAAGCGAGCGCAGGCGGUUUUUUAAGUCUGAUGUGA
rnacentral:rRNA from 1 species